GACAGAGGUGCCAAGCGUUAGGCGGAAUCACUGGGCUUAAAGCGUGUGUAGGCGGAUGUCUAAGUACCUUGUGAAAUCCCACGGCUCAACCGUGGAACUGCUUGGUAUACUGGGCGUCUUGAGCCAUCUAGGGGCUACCGGAACAAAUGGUGGAGCGGUGAAAUGCGUAGAUAUCGCUUGGAACGCCGAAGGUGAAAACAGGCUGCUGGGGUUGUGCCGACGCUGAGACACGAAAGCCAGGGGAGCAAACGGG
rnacentral:rRNA from 1 species